AUACUUACCAGGCAGGGGAAGACACCAUGAUCAAGUAGGUGGUUUCUUCCAGGGCGAGACUCACCAAUGGUACUUGGGGUGUGUUGACCCCUUCGAUUUCCUCAAAUGCGGGAAAGUCGACUGCAUAAUUUCUGGUAGUGGGGGACUGCGUUCGCGCUCUCCCCUG